GCCGGGCGUGGUGGUGCACGCUUGUAAUCCCAGUGGCUCAGGAGGCUGGGACAGGAGGAUCACAAGUUCAAAGCCAGCCUGAGGUGCAAAGCAACUCAGUGAGACCCUGUCUUUA
rnacentral:sRNA from 1 species